GGGUGCAGCAGGCGCGAAAACUUUACAAUGCCGGCAACGGCGAUAAGGGAACCUCGAGUGCCAGGUUACAAAUCUGGCUGUCGUGAUGCCUAAAAAGCAUUGCAUAGCAAGGGCCGGGCAAGACCGGUGCCAGCCGCCGCGGUAACACCGGCGGCUCGAGUGGUAACCGUUAUUAUUGGGUCUAAAGGGUCUGUAGCCGGCCGGGUAAGUCUCUUGGGAAAUCUGGCAGCUUAACUGUCAGGCUUUCAGGAGAUACUGCCUGGCUCGAGGCCGGGAGAGGUGAGAGGUACUUCAGGGGUAGGGGUGAAAUCUUGUAAUCCUUGAAGGACCACCAGUGGCGAAGGCGUCUCACCAGAACGGACCUGACGGCAAGGGACGAAAGCUAGGGGCACGAACCGGAUUAGAUACCCGGGUAGUCCUAGCCGUAAACGAUACUCGCUAGGUGUCGGCCACGGUGCGACCGUGGUCGGUGCCGUAGGGAAGCCGUGAAGCGAGCCACCUGGGAAGUACGGCCGCAAGGCUGAAACUUAAAGGAAUUGGCGGGGGAGCAC
rnacentral:rRNA from 1 species